rnacentral:rRNA from 1 species
GACGAACGCUGGCGGCGUGCUUAACACAUGCAAGUCGAACGGAAAGGCCUUGCUUUUGUUGUGGGCUCGAGUGGCGAACGGGUGAGUAACACGUGAGUAACCUGCCCUUGACUUUGGGAUAACUUCAGGAAACUGGGGCUAAUACCGGUUAGGAGCUCCUGCUGCAUGGUGGGGGUUGGAAAGUUUCGGCGGUUGGGGAUGGACUCGCGGCUUAUCAGCUUGUUGGUGGGGUAGUGGCUUACCAAGGCUUUGACGGGUAGCCGGCCUGAGAGGGUGACCGGCCACAUUGGGCCUGAGAUACGGCCCAGACGCCUACGGGAGGCAGCAGUGGGGAAUAUUGCACAAUGGGCGGAAGCCUGAGGCAGCAACGCCGCGUGCGGGGUGACGGCCUUCGGUUGGUAAACCGCUUUCGCCUGUGACGAAGCGUGGGUGACGGUAAUGGGUGAAGAAGCACCGGCUAACUACGUG